GUCAGUCCUGUCCUCAAGCACCUGCAGUCUUUACGCCAUCCGUCUGUGUGUGAAUGCAGUAUUGGCCUGUUUAGAUUGAUAUCUGUCAAUCCUGUCAAUUAUGAUAGUAAAGAAAGAUCUACAGAGGUACAUGUAUAGUACCCUUUCUCUUAAUUUGGGAAUCCUGUAUCCCCACACACGGAUGGAAGUCAUUUUGUGAUGGAAAAAGGGUGCUUUGAAGAAAGGUUUUUGAGUUUCGUCUUGUAAAUAAAUGAGUGGGUUUUAUUCGACUAAAAUAAAAUUCAUUAAACUCGU
rnacentral:misc_RNA from 1 species